UGGAGGGUCAGACUGCAAUUUUGUGUUUUUACGAUUAGGCUCCCUAUUUAGUACAUGUUCUGGAUGAUUAGACUCCCUACCUGUGCACGAUUUGGCUAUCUGCUUUUUUUUGAGGUAAUUUGGCUAUCUGCUUAGUACAUGUCGACGAGUAGUCUCUCUACUUAGUACCUGUGGAGGGUUGUUGGUUAGUCCUAUAUCUGCCACAUAGGAAUUGGGAAAGGGAGUUUUUUUAGAAAAAAUUGGACAGAAAACUCAAAAAAAUUAAAAAAUUGGACAUUGACAAAAAAAAGGACAAAAAACUCCAAUUUUUUUUUGAUAAAAACUUGGACAUUGCAUUUUCCAUAUAUCUUGAAAGUACUUUGCUAACUUGAACUAUAGCCAAGCUAGAAGGAUAGUUGGAUUGAACUUCACUUGGCAAAAGUUAUGUUCGUACCAAACUUGCCGGUCUAUUUUCAAUUUAUGCUUUUAGCUGAAGUUUAGUUCCUAUAGAGCAUCUAGUAACACGAAUAUGAAAUCGUGAACUAACUAAUAAACGGAUAUAAGUUUUCUUCGCAUCUCAGCAGCUUUAUGGAUCAUCUACUUCGUACCUUUGGACGAUUAGGGUUGUUGAUUAGUAAUAUAUCUGCUGACUAUCUGCCACAUAGGAAUUGGGAUUUGAAAGGAAAAAAUUGGAUAUUGAUAAAAAAAUCUGACAAAAAACUCAAAUAAAAUUGAAGAAAAAUUGGACAUUGCACUUUACAUAUCUUGAAAGGACUUUGCUAACUUGAACUAUAGCCAAGCUAGAAGGAUAGUUGGAUUGAACUUCACUUGUCAAAAGUUAUGUUCUUGCCAAACUGGUGGUCUAUUUUCAACGUAUGCUUUUAGCUGAAGUUUAGUUCCUAUAGAGCAUCUAGUAACAUAAAUAUGAAAUCAUUAACUAAUUAAUAAACAGAUAUGAGUUUUCUUCACUUCUCAGCAGCUUUUAUGGGCUUAAAUUCAGGCUUUGAUCAUGUCUCCUGAACAAUUUAAGUACACUGUAGCAGUUCUCCAUUAGGCAAUUGUUUGAAUGCUGAAAAUACACGGUUACUGCUUUUGUUGAAGCCAGGUGUGAUAGUUAAUAGUUGAACAAAAUAUACCUGAACAAUUUAAGUAUGCUGUAGCAGUUCUCCACUUAUGUUCACCUGCAAGUAAGAAGAUUGUUCUUUUUUUUUUUUUGCUGAAGCCAGGUGAGAUAGUUAAUAGUUGAACAAAAUAUACCUGAAUAACUGCUUUUGUUGCUUUGUGGCCGUCUUUCUGACGAAAAUGAUAUUUUGUGUACGUGCUUAAUCACUGUUUACCUUUACUUUUGGCGCUCAUUAUUAUAAUGUUAGAUUAGAAUUAUAUAAAUUUUGCUGUUCUGGCAAGUUCAUGGUUUGUCUGGAUUUUGUGAAUGAUUCUCAGUUCUUGUGAACAAAAUUAUAUUCCUCUGCUCCAAAUCUUUAAUUAAUGUAUCUUAAUUGAUUGGUCUGAUUGUCUUCUUUGCAGGAUCAUGUACUGUAUUCAUGCUUUGAGACACUCUGUCUACAUCCUGUCUCGCAGAUUCUUUUGUUACGUUGUAGCAGUCAUUCUGUGGAAAUACAUAUUUGAUGCUUGUGCUAAUCACUGUUUAUCUUCAUGUUUGGCUCUCAUUUAUGGCGUUUUCUUUAAUUAUUUAAUUUCAUCUGUUCUGGUUGGGUGAUGUGAAUGAUUCUCAGUUUUUCAGUAUCAUAAGCGAGAAGCUGAGACCCCAAGAAGGAUCAUGCGGUAGUACCAUUUGAAGUUGCAAGAGAUUGGACAGAACGGAGGAGCCAGUGCAAGAGUUGCGGCUGCACCUCCGCGGUAAGACAAUAGGAGGCCAAUCUGGCCUGUCCCAACCUAUGCCUGGUAUGCUGCAGCUUUAUCCAAUCCUCUACUAACUCCCUUCUUUGAAAUUACAUUUCCUUUCACAUUGGCUGCCAAAUAUUGAUGAUGGGGUUUUGAGCCAGAAGCCAUUGAAGAUCGAUCUUGACUGCAGAGGAAUUGUUUUAGUUGCAAGGUGAGAGUUCAACCAAUGUUUCUUUUCUAGGUACGGUUGAAAUGCAUUGUUUUCUCGCAUUUCCAUGUGUUCAACACUUGCCAGAGAUUGGACAUAGUGGAGGAGCCAGUACAAGAGACGUGGCUGGCACCUCGUCAACAGUAAGACCAUAGGAACCUAAUAUAGCCUGCCCCAGCUUACUAUUUAUCCUGCUCAAAUGCUUUUUCAGUUUUCCCGAGUGUCUCCAGGAAGGUAGGGUUUAUCAUUUUACACGUUUGAAACAUAUUUGCUAUAUUAAUCUCUAUUGUUAUGAACAUCUUUAUCAACCGUCUGAGCAUCACAUCAUAUUUUAGUCAUAUAAUUAUUGAGCAUCACUGCUCUGAACGGCUUAGGAUUGCCAGUAAUGAACAUGAUUGCAGGGAUCUGGUCAUAAAAUUUGUCUUGUAAUGUUGCAGCUUAUACUUCUAUUUCGUUGGUCUGGAGACAGUAUUUCUAUGGAUAGUUAUGAAAUCAUAAUCAUUUCAAUCUGAAGAUCACUUUUAAGUUUAAAAUAUGCUCCUAUAAGAUCCCCUGAAACUCGAGAUGUGGCAAACAUACCAUCUUAUAAUUAUAUAAACAAAUAAGCUACUUUGUAUCCUUGUUCAGUUUGAUAGUAGGGAUAUCAGAAAAAGAACUAACAUGAAGUGUUGGAUUCUUUCCUCAUGGAUGGAUCUGUUGAAGAAGUGGAGAUGUAUAUUCUUGGAAAUAAUGAAUGCAUUUGUUUCCUGAGACUGAACAUUACAAAAGCACCUCUUCUAGAAGAAGAAGCUAUAAAGCCCUCGGAGCUUUUGAAGGAAGAAGUUCUGACUUACUUUCCUGAUUCUAUCUGUAACAGUUUGGGCCAUCUUCUAUGUAUAUGUAUUUAGCCCAAAUAGUCAGCCUGGCCCAAGUUGUCAUAUGGAACCUCUGUACAUUACUCUGAAUGCAAUAGAGAAAAUCUUCAGUUGGUCAAA